rnacentral:lncRNA from 1 species
UGGAAGAUGAAUGUGGUCUACCUAUCUCAAUAGUGUUGCUCAUAUCUGCCUGGUCCUCCAAUUCUUCAUCAGUCUCCUCAGGUGCAAGAGUGGGGGCAUAAGAGUGUGGGAAAGUAGGUGGCACAGUAGUAAGCUCAUGACUCUGCUCCCCAUCUCCUAUGUGGUUGUCACUAACCUCAUCUAGAAGCUGAACAAUCUGAAUUGGUGAUCCCUCUGAAGCUUGAGACUGUUCCUCAAUAUGUUGGGCGCCCAUCUG